ACUUGACUAGCUGAGAGGAGGUGCAUGGCCGUCGUCAGUUCGUACUGUGAAGCAUCCUGUUAAGUCAGGCAACGAGCGAGACCCACGCCAACAGUUGCCAGCUCGUCCUCCGGGAUGGUGGGGGACACUGUUGGGACCGCCUCUGCUAAAGAGGAGGAAGGAAUGGGCAACGGUAGGUCAGCAUGCCCCGAAUUAUCUGGGCUACACGCGGGCUACAAUGGGUGGGACAAUGGGUAUCGACACCGAAAGGUGAAGGCAAUCUCCUAAACCCAUCCGUAGUUCGGAUUGUGGGCUGCAACUCGCCCACAUGAAGCUGGAAUCUGUAGUAAUCGUGUCUCAAAAUGGCACGGUGAAUAUGUCCCUGCUCCUU
rnacentral:rRNA from 1 species